UGAGUAAGUACCCUCGGAAAGACCAUCAGACUCAUCUUCAUUGCUUAAGCAGCUUAAUCCUCACGGGUGGAGCUCGGCAUGAUUGGGAAUGAUAGGGUGGUAGACCAGCAAUGGUCAAUCUCCUUGCCAGACUUGUUCCGCCUUCGGGUGUUGACAACAAGCACUGCAGAAAAUUGUGGAUCUACUUGCCGAUGGCCAAACCUAAGCAGCAGAAACACAUUUGAAGAUCCGCAAGCAUCAGGUGCCAUCUCCAUGGCUGCCGGUGUUGUGCAGUCUUCUCCAAGGAUUAUGAUUUCAGUCUCCAAGACCCCGCAGUGCACACCGCGACCUUGCCAGACCGGAAGAGUAUAUCCAGAGCACAUAAGACCGGCGAACAAGGAAGCUUUGUACUUGUCGCACGCAAUGCCUUGCGGCACAGUGUGUGAUGAGUCUUUGCCUUUAUUGCAAUCUUGCGUAACAAACACAGUGGCGCGCAGUCCUGGAUGUAACAGUCCGGACAGCCGCCUUUGCUGGCAGAGGUUCGCCUCUGACGGCAGCUUAGUGAUAGUUACCUGGUUGAUUCUGCCAGU
rnacentral:misc_RNA from 1 species